UCUGUCUAUUUUUUAAUAUCCUCCAAUAUUCUAAUAUAAAUAAUAGCAUCUACUCGUAAUGUGAUUGAACUCAUGUAGGCAAGUAUAUAUUUUAGAAAAAACUUGAAAAUCUAAAUAUACAUUCGGAUGUAUUUUCUGUCAAGCAAGCCGAUAUGGAAACUGUUAUAGGUACGUAUAUGUAGGUUAUUUUUUAAUUAAAGCCGUUAAGUUUUUGACUUCAAAUGGAUGUUCAACAUAUUUCCGUUGUAUUAAUCUUUGUAUAACAACGAAUUUUAUCGUAGAACAAGAGAAUCGAAUGUACUACUUUUCAAUAAGUUUAUCACCAGAAAUUAUUAUCAGUUAUUACAGAAUAGCUUUGAGUUCGAAAUCUACGUCAAAACAUUGUAAAAUACGGUGUUGGUUCCAUAAUCAAUAUCAUAUAUGUACCGUAAAUGUAUGGCUAACAUGCAGUUCUUCUUUGGGUUCUACAUCGAUAUUUUGUAUGAACUAAUAAAAUGGUUAAAAGAAGAUCUUUGGACAACCAAAUAUACAAUAAAAUAUACCAUCAGAGAUUUCCAGUACCUAAUCAUUCUUACAUCGGGAACACCCAGCAAGAAGUCGAAGAUCAUAUUAGAUUUUUGAAAUCAAAGAAAAAUGCCAUUGAACCAUUUGUUUUUUGUAUGUGUGGUGAUAAUUGAUCCCAGAGAGAUGUUGUAUUUAUGGAGAUGUUAUCAGAAAGAACAGUUCAAGUUCAGUUGAGUCCAGUAAGUCGAGUUAUUAAAUUGCUAAAAGAGGUAGUGGUAGUUUUUUUCUGAUAUAAUAAAAGAGUACACGUCAGUUGUUCUGUUUAAUUCCAAAAUUAAGUGAUAGUCCGGACAAUCUGCAGAAGAAAGGAGCGCAUAGUAUUC